AAGUCGUAACAAGGUUUCCGUAGGUGAACCUGCGGAAGGAUCAUUAUUGAAAUUUCGAGGGGGGAAGACGGAAAGGGUUCGAGACUGUCGCUGGCUCUUCAGAGCAUGUGCACGUCUUUCUUUUUUGUCCUCCUUUCUCUCUCUACACACACCUGUGCACCCAUUGUAGGUCUUCGAAAGAGGAUCUAUGUUUUUUGCAUCACUCUCCCGUCGUAUGUCUAUAGAAUGUAAUAAAUUAUACAACUUUCAGCAACGGAUCUCUUGGCUCUC
rnacentral:misc_RNA from 1 species